rnacentral:rRNA from 1 species
GAUGAACGCUGGCGGCGUGCUUAACACAUGCAAGUCGAACGGAAAGGCCCAAGCUUGCUUGGGUACUCGAGUGGCGAACGGGUGAGUAACACGUGGGUGAUCUGCCCUGCACUUCGGGAUAAGCCUGGGAAACUGGGUCUAAUACCGGAUAGGACGAUGGUUUGGAUGCCGUUGUGGAAAGUUUUUUCGGUGUGGGAUGAGCUCGCGGCCUAUCAGCUUGUUGGUGGGGUAAUGGCCUACCAAGGCGUCGACGGGUAGCCGGCCUGAGAGGGUGUACGGCCACAUUGGGACUGAGAUACGGCCCAGACUCCUACGGGAGGCAGCAGUGGGGAAUAUUGCACAAUGGGCGCAAGCCUGAUGCAGCGACGCCGCGUGGGGGAUGACGGCCUUCGGGUUGUAAACUCCUUUCGCUAGGGACGAAGCGUUUUUGUGACGGUACCUGGAGAAGAAGCACCGGCUAACUACGUG